UUUUUUUCCUCACUUUUUAUUUUCUCGUACCUCAUUCACCUCAUCUUCUUUCUUCUGUAUAGCUAACUCAGUAUCGCUAGAGGCGUCAAAAAGUACUUCUUGCUCAAUUUCCUCUUCUUGCUCUUUUUGAGAAUAAUAGGUUCUUUGCUUCGAUUCGUAUUUUUCUUCCUGUACUGCAAGCGAUUGAAUCUCAGCAUCAGAAAUGUUAUCAUACCCAAGACGUUCUUUCAAAAUUUUGGCAACCAACCAUCUAUACUGCAAAUGACCUUCAACAAGAUCCCCCACAUCGACAUUUUCUAAAGUAUUUGAAUCAAGAGAAACUGGUCCAAGACCAGCAGCCGUAGAUUGCGCACUGUUGACACGAUACACUAAUUGUAGUACAUAAUCAGAAGCAGAAUAGACAUUUACGAAUCUCCCAGCGACAACGCAUCUCAUUUUAAGCCAUAACUUAGCGUCAGUCGGCAUAGGGGCGCCCAUUACUAUCACAUUUUCAACUAGAUUCGUCUCACCACGGUCAGCCAAAUGUAGUAAACACUCAAGAAUUGUACGUGCACCAAGCGAAAACCCAAUUAAAGUCACUGGACGCAUACCCUGAGCUCUAACACAAAGCGCAUUGGCUAAAGCUUCACCGGCUUUGAUGGAUAAAUUAAAUGCAAUUCUCCAGGAAUUGCCUAAAAUAUUUCCGACUUUCAAAAGUGAUAAAGGCCAUAAAGCAGCAGCAAGAGGAGCUAAUAUCGUUCUACUAAUAACCUCUCCCUUUACCCAGCCAAGUCCAGCAGAAAAUAAGAUUCUGGAAAGAGAUUUUCCAAGAUCAACUAAAGCUUCAACUUCAAAUUUCAAAGCAUAUAUGUCUCCCCAAUAAUAACUUUUAUCUCCAACAGUUAAAGAUUUCCAAGCAGCGUCUACUUCGUUAUAAUCCCCAAGCCAUCCUGAGAUUCCAAUGGUAACCGGUAAAUGCGAUUGCACACUGAGAGGUAUGAAUUCAAAAUCAGUGAGUCCCUUAGAUACAUCCCCCAUCUGUUGCAUACUCAUUUUGGCUCCAAAGCCUCCAAACAGAGCAGUGAUCAUUGGUGCCGAAGUAAUCAAAGUGCCAAGAUAGGUUGCUCCAAUCAUAGUUCCCAAACCUAGACCAGCAAAUAACGUCCCUAACCCAGCUGCAACAAAAGGUGCAGCUAGUCCACCUGUUAACCCAAUAAGAGCUCCACCUGCCAGUCCAGCGAGACCCAUUGCAAUCCGUCUUCUCAUUUUUCGGGUGCCCGAAAGUUCAUACAUUUCUUGAUUGCUUUCCAUAGUUUGAAAAGUAUCUAAAAGCAUAGAAGAGGUGAUAAGCUCAGCCUUAUAAACCACGAUAGAGGACAAGCCCAACUUCUCUGCAAUACUAUAUAAUAAAUUACGGGAAUAAGGAGAAUAAUUACCCAAUGAAAGAAUCAAUAACAGUAGACAUUUAAUAAAGCACUCGCUUUUCUCUGUUUCGGAAAACUGCCGAAAUUUUUUUACUUCUACUUGAUCCUUUGGAGUAGAGGGAUCCAGUGCGCAACCUGUGCGAUUUACAACUGCCAUUGCCCAAGUGUCGAAGUUUUCUCUAAAGACGUCCAAUAAUUGAGAAAGAUAUUUUACUAUUUCAGGAUCCGUGUUAUCGAUUAUUGACUCUUUCUUCUCUCGCAUUUCACCAAUUGUACUAGCAAUUAAAAUUGUAUAACGAGUACAAGCAUCAUCGUCAAAUAAGGAUAUGAUUUUCUGUUCUGCCAUAUUAUCUAAAAGAAGGAAGAUAUGAAAAGGAAAAAAUUAAGUAAUGUAUGUUUUGAUAUGAUUCGCAUAGAAUGCACAGCAGAAAGUAAUUGUGCACCAAAAGUUUAAGAACUUCUGGUAUCAGGAAUUAGGAAUGAAAAACUUCUUCUUUCAAAGCAAACCUAUUAAGAACUAAAAAAGUAAACAAUAGUUGAAAGAAAAUGGUCGUAAAGCAAACUUGAUAUUGAAGCACUUAGCACACUAAUGGAAGAAACGUCAUAGGUUAACUCUCAAUAUAAUGGAGAUGUGCGCACUCACUAUUUCAAGUUAAGGCACACCAAUCUCGGCCACGAUCAGCUUGGAAAUGGCACAAGGAGGGUUCAAGGAAUAGUGAUACCAAUGAAGCUAAAAAAAUUCCAGAGCUAUCUGAAGAGCCAACAGUACUAAUAGCUAGUUCACGCUGACUACUCUCCGUAGUCUGCAAACUAUGAUACACGUUCACAUAAACGGUACCACCAAUAAGACCCUCAACGAAUAUGAGGAAUAGUACAAAAUGAUAGCUGGAAGUAAGAUAUAGGGCCGACUGUAGUAUAGUAAAUAGAAGGAUAAUGAACUGUGUUAUUGCCAAUGUGCGCAAAUAUGGGACAGUAAAAAAUGAAAUGGAGGAUCGCGAUAGGAAAACACCAAUCUGGUAAACAGUUUGGUAAGUAGGAUAAAAAUCCCUAAACGAAGAAAAGCCAGCUUUUUCGGGCGGGAAUAAAAGAGUGGGAGCUACACCAAUAUUGAUAGUAUAUUCUGAGAAGUAUACAAGGAACUGCGGAAACAUAUGACUAAGAAGGUAUGGUUGCAUGAAUAUGAAUGUUUGCUUCAAAGAAUUAACGAAAUUGAAUGAAACGUGCCCUGCUCGAAGAUCAAUAGAUUCAAUUGGCGUAUAAUUGUUGUUAAUUGAAGGUGAUGUAGAUUCAGACUCUGGCAACACAAAAAAGUACAUGAUCAAAAGGAAAAGCGGCAGAAAGCUAGAGAUAAUAAGUGUGCUGCGUACCGAGAAGUUAAACCAUGUAGUCAUAACCAAAUAGGAAGAUGCACCAAAGAGACCGGCCAAGCCUGUUCCGGAACUCCAGCACGGUAAAGACACAGAGUGAUAACGACUUGAUAGAUGCAAGAAAGAGAUUUCGCCAAAACUCGAUGAAAUGGCUGCCAGAGAUACACCAAGCAUUUUCGAAGGGACGGAGGAAGACCAAGCAAUCCAUUGCAUUCCUAAUAUGGACAUGAAAACACAAAAACCGAUUCUCUUUGCAAACUUAAAUUUAUGAACAUGAAGAAUUGAUGCUGACAACUUGCACGCCAAAGAAGGAACAAUAUUAGAAAGUAGUACCACACCCUUAGAAACGUUUGCGCCAACCAAAUCUAAGGCAGCGGAUAAAAUUAUCACGUAGAGAAGGUUGUUUAACAAUCC